UAAAAAUAUAUUCAAUGUAAUAAUAUUAUUUUUUUAAGACGUCCAAACAAUUAAGCUAAUAGUACAACUAACCAUCAAUAAAAUAAUCUUUUAAAUAUUAAUUUAACUUUUAUCCGAAUUUAAAUCCUUAUAAUCUUCAACAAAUCUGAUCUCUUUACCUGAUAUCCGGGUGUAUUCUAAAUGUCACAUGUUAAUUCAAUUUCCAAAAUUUAAAGUCUACGUCCGUUUGUUCCCUCCCGUGCUAAAAGCCCACCGCCAAGCAUCAACUGCUCCCUUCUCCAAUAUCUUCCACUCCUCUUCUCGGCCAAUCAUAACCUCAAAGGUACAUCACUUUCUCUCUCUUGAACAGUGUGCAUGUUUGAUUGUGUAUACAUGAAUCGAUUUACGCCUGACGCCAUUGGAGCACCACCACCCAGUCGCCACUAUCUCAAUUAAAUACCUCCAAUAGGACGAAGCCCCUAUUCCCUCAUGAAAACCCAUCUGGAGACAUAUGCGAAAGUCACCCUCCUUGUCUGCCGAACCGUUCUUCUUCAUACCAGUCUAAAAAACCCUAAAACCACGAUAAAAGCACAUUGAUACACACCCAUCACCGCUUAGCAUCACAGAAAAACCCAAAGAAACUUUCAUUUUUAUCAAUGAGUUACAAAUCCCCAACCUCUUGUGCUUUCUUUUUCUGUAAUUUUUGCAGGUUGCAGUGCAUACAUGAACUUAUUGUCGAGAUUAAGCAACAUUUUGCUGGGUAGGCAUUUAUAGAUUUAAUUUUUUGCUUUUUGUUAUCUCAUAUUCGCUCAAAACGUAUUUGCUUUUUUUUUUCUGUUCAUCUUUGAUUUGCUAAAAAAAAUUAGGUUUUUGUUUUUUUUUUUUCUUUUAUCUCAUAUUUGUUCCAAACAGAAAUGGAUGGUCAAAUUCUCACAGUGUGCUUCUUCGUUUUAUGUAUUUUUUAUGCAAAUGGAAAAAAUGUCACCUUCAGACAUGCUACAAGUCUAAUAUUUGAUUAUGGUUCUCUUAUGUGUAUAUGAGUUUAUGUGUUUUGCACGGUAUUAUAAUCAGAACACUAAAAAUUAGAAAUUGUUAAAAUUGAUUCUUAUUAAAUGCCAAAUUAAUUUAUGAUCAUGGUUUAUUUGUCUUUAUGUGUGAGGUGGGAUCAAAGUUACGCUGGUUAGCUUCUUAUCACCUUAUCACGCACACACACGUCCAAGUAUGUCAAUGUAAGUUUGUUUAAAAAACGAAUUCAAAUUUUGAUACCAUAUGAUAUGAUAAUGAAAAAGUUCUAAUAGAUUUUCUUCCACUAAUGGCUUAUAGAGUUUGUUGGAAUUGCUUUAUGAAAAUUUGAGAUCAACAAGAAUCUAAGAUCCGGGGCUUCUAUCUAUAAUAGAUGUUUCCUAUUGUCAUUUUCCAUUUUAUUCGAGGAAUAAAGUUUUUAUUUCAACUAUUUUGAAAUUUCAUUAUUUGAGUAUCUUUCUCUGUUCUCAUAUAUGUAUUCGAGGUUUUAUCACUCGGUUUGUGUUUAAGGAAAAUUAAGUUUAUUAUUGUUAUUAUUAUUAUUUGUGAGGUAGUAUGUGUUGCAUGUAUCAAUGGAUCAUUAAGAAACAAUAUUGGAGUGCAUUUGACGACAGGCUGAAUUUUGUGGUGAAUACCCAUCCAUGAGUUACGUCAUUCAGGGCUCCACACAUUUGAAUGCUUGUAUCCAGGUUUAGCUGGUUGUUAGCUGCUGGAAAUAUAGGUCAAAUGCAACUAAUAUCUCAAAAAGACAACCCAAAAUCAUCGAAUAAGAUUUUGGCCCUCUUUAAGGUAAUAAUUAGAGGUUUAGUCAUUAGGGAGUUUUAUUGUUUGAUUUUAACUUGAUUUAUGUUAAGUUGUAUUUUGGGUUCAAAUUUCUAUCCCAAAAAUUCUGUUAAUUUAAUUUCCUAUAAGUUGUACUUUAGGUUCUAAGGUUAAGGGACAACGUAAGUUGAAAUCGCAUCAGGUAUGUCCCCAAAAGAAUCUUUUGUUGGUUUGGCAGGAAACAACCCUUAACUUUGUUAUUAAUGAUUUGGUUCAACGCCCAAGAUGCCCAUCGAUUAUGGUCUUUUGACAGCAUCUAAUGAAAACUAGGUCUUAAAAUAGAAGACAAAUAUUUUAUGCUUAAGGUCGUCUAUUUUAUAAAGGCAUGUAUUCAUAUUUUUAUUAAUAACAUCUCUUUUGUUACAUGAAUAAUAUGAGGUUAUCGUGUAAUUCUUUUAUUAUUAUUAUUAUUAUUAUUAUUAUUAUUUAUUUUAGUACUUUUAAUAAGUUAACUUUAUAUAUUAAUUACCAACAAGAAACUUUAGUUAAUCAGCUCCCUAAUCAUGGUUUUAAAGUUUUAAUUGUAGCUUACUUCUUCCCAUUUUACCUUUAGGGGUUACUCUGUAGUGUGCAUUUAGUAAGAGGGGAUGAUGGUUGUACGGAGCAAAUUAAGCAUUUCAAGUGUGGCUUCUCGUAGUUCUUAUGAAGUUAGAUAUGCUUUUACAACAUGCUAUUAAUGGAUUGCAAUGCAUCCCACAUAUUGUGCAACCUCUGAUUCAGAUACACCACUUAUUCUUUCCAAGCUAUAUCCGGAUUGGAUCCUAAUGGUGUUAUAAGAACUUUGUUCGUUAUGAAAAGUGAUAACCAUUAUGAGUUACUUACAUUUAUUAUUCUUUUAUAUAUUUAUUUUGUUUUAAUCAAAUAUAGGUUCUCAUAAAGAGUUUUUAGAAUUAAUGAAAAUAUACAUGAGAAUUAAAGUAAUUAAUUUGUAUAGAAAACAACAUUU